rnacentral:rRNA from 1 species
UACGGAGGAUGCAAGCGUUAUCCGGAAUGAUUGGGCGUAAAGGGUCCGCAGGUGGCAAUGUGUGUCUGCUGUCAAAGAAUGAGGCUUAACCUCAUCAAGGCAGUGGAAACUACAUAGCUAGAGUACGGUCGGGGUAGAAGGAAUUCCUGGUGUAGCGGUGAAAUGCGUAGAGAUCGGGAAGAACACCGGUGGCGAAAGCGUUCUGCUAGACCUGUACUGACACUGAGGGACGAAAGCUAGGGGAGCGAAUGGG